CACGUAGGGGGCAAGCGUUGUCCGGAUUUAUUGGGCGUAAAGAGCUCGUAGGCGGUUUCGUAAGUCGGGUGUGAAAACUCUAGGCUCAACCUAGAGACGCCACCCGAUACUGCGAUGACUAGAGUCCGGUAGGGGAGUGUGGAAUUCCUGGUGUAGCGGUGAAAUGCGCAGAUAUCAGGAAGAACACCAACGGCGAAGGCAGCACUCUGGGCCGGAACUGACGCUGAGGAGCGAAAGCGUGGGUAGCGAACAGG
rnacentral:rRNA from 1 species